rnacentral:rRNA from 1 species
UACGGAGGAUCCAAGCGUUAUCCGGAUUUAUUGGGUUUAAAGGGUGCGUAGGCGGCCUAUUAAGUCAGGGGUGAAAGACGGCAGCUUAACUGUCGCAGUGCCUUUGAUACUGAUGGGCUUGAAUCGCGUUGAAGAUGGCGGAAUGAGACAAGUAGCGGUGAAAUGCAUAGAUAUGUCUCAGAACACCGAUUGCGAAGGCAGCUGUCUAAGCGAUGAUUGACGCUGAUGCACGAAAGCGUGGGGAUCAAAC